rnacentral:lncRNA from 1 species
UCUCUUUCUACACCUCACACUCCCCUAAGUCUCUCUCUACAGCUCGCCCUCCCCGAUCUUCUCUCUCUUUAUCUAAAGCAAAAGACCGUUACUUCGAGUCAAAAGCCCAAGAGGAUUUUCUUUUCAUAUGAUCAAGGUAUGUCUCCUUUAGAUCCUAUUUCGAAUUUUGGGUUUGAGGGUUUGCAUCCAUGGCAUCUGCAUGAGCAUUUUAGGGUUUUGUUAUUGUGUUGUCUUGUGGGCUUGCUCUCGAUUUCCUUGUUCCAUCCUAUUUAUCCUUCUAUGUGAUUUUCAUGAUUUGGACCUUUGGGGCAGUGAUUUUGGUUUUAUCUCAUAUUAUUUAUACCUUAUUUCUUAAGAUUUGUUCCAAUUUAUGGAUUUAUGCUUCACUCGAUUUUGAUUAGUUUUUUAUUCUAUACCUUACUGUCUCGUCUCAUUGAUCUAUUCUUUUUGCAAGUAUUGUUGUUUCAAUGAGUUUUAGAAAUUCUUCUUUUCUUUUCUUUUUUUAGUGGUACGUUGAGAAAUUUAUGCAUGGUAUUUCAAAUACGAUUUACCCAAAUUCAGGUUGUAAUAGUUUUAAUUUUGGGAAGCAUUAUUCUUGGCACAAUAUAGUUGUCAUUUUGGAGCAUCAAACAAUUUUUCGCUGCUCUUAUCUUGGCUGCAAUUUUAGCCAGCAUUAUUCUUGGCACAAUUUUGGGCAUUACUAAUGACUGUAAUAUGCUUUUAAACUUCACAUUGAUAAUCAUUACUAG